ACCCGGAGGAAGAGAAAUCAAACGAGAUGCCCACAGUAGCGGCGAGCGAAGAGGGCAGAGCCCAAACCUGUAAGCUACGGCUUAUGGGGGUUGAGGACUGACGUAAUUAAGGCCAGGCUUAGCUGAACUACCUGGGAAGGUAGGCUAUAUAAGGUAAGAGCCCUGUAAGCGAAAGGCAGAGCCUUAAGGUCAGUAUCCAGAGUACCACGGAGCACGAGGAAUUCUGUGGGAAGCAGGGGGGACCACCCUCCAAGGCUAAAGACUAACUGGCGACCGAUAGCGCAUAGUACCGUGAGGGAAAGGUGAAAAGAACCCCGGGAGGGGAGUGAAAUAGUACCUGAAACCGUAUGUCUACAAGCAGUCGGAGCGAAAGCGACGGCGUGCCUAUUGAAGAAUGAACCAACGAGUUAUCUGCACUAGCGAGGUUAAGUGGAAGACACGGAGCCGUAGCGAAAGCGAGUCUGAAAAGGGCGGCGAGUUAGUGUAGGUAGACCCGAAACCGCAGUGAUCUACCCAUGUCCAGGUUGAAGCGCAGGUAAAAAUGCGUGGAGGACCGAACCGGUGAGCGUUGAAAAGCUUUCGGAUGAGAUGUGGGUAGGGGUGAAAUUCCAAUCGAACGCGGAGAUAGCUGGUUCUCCCCGAAAUAGCUUUAGGGCUAGCCUCAGGUAGUAAGUAUAGGCGGUAGAGCACUGAUCGGGCUAGGGGCCAUAAAGGUUACCGAACCCUGUCAAACUCCGAAUGGAUAUACUGCAGAGCCUGGGAGUCAGACUACGAGUGAUAAGAUCCGUGGUCAAAAGGGAAACAGCCCAGACCACCGGCUAAGGUCCCAAAUGCCGUACUAAGUGGAAAAGGAUGUGGGGAUUCAUAAACAACCAGGAUGUUGGCUCAGAAGCAGCCACCAUUUAAAGAGUGCGUAAUAGCUCACUGGUCGAGAGUCCCUGCGCCGAAAAUUUCCGGGGCUAAAGUACGGAACCGAAGCCGUGGCUGUGCAUGUAAGUGCACGGGGUAGGGGAGCGUUGCCACAGGGGUGAAGCUGGUCUGGAAGGACUGGUGGACUUGUGGGAAGUGAGAAUGUUGGUAUGAGUAGCGAAAAGAAAGGUGAGAAUCCUUUCCACCGAAAGCAUAAGGAUUCCUGAGCAACGAUCGUCGUCUCAGGGUAAGUCGGGACCUAAUCCGAGGCAAAGAGCGUAGGAGAUGGACAACAGGUUGAUAUUCCUGUACCGGCAGCAAUUGUUUGAGCGAAGGAGUGACACAGAAGGGCAGGCAGGCGCGAGACUGGAUUGUCGCGUGCAAGCGUGUAGGGUGGUGUACAGGCAAAUCCGUACACUGAGAGCCUGAGGCGUUACGCGGAGCGAGCAGAGAUGCGAGCGAAGCUGCUGAUCCCACACUGUCGAGAAAAGCUUCUAGUGAGAGAGCUGCCGCCCGUACCGUAAACCGACACAGGUAUGCGGGGAGAGAAUCCUAAGGUGCGCGGGAGAACCCUCGUUAAGGAACUCGGCAAAAUGUACCCGUAACUUCGGGAUAAGGGUAGCCGUCUUGGUGAAGGAACUAGCUUCUGGAGCUGAAGGCGGUCGCAGAGAAGAGGCCCAAGCGACUGUUUACCACAAACACAGGUGCCUGCUAAAGCGAAAGCUGACGUAUAGGUGCUGACACCUGCCCAGUGCUGGAAGGUUAAGGAAGGAUGUCCGGGCAACCAAAGCAUUCGACCGAAGCCCCAGUGAACGGCGGCCGUAACUAUAACGGUCCUAAGGUAGCGAAAUUCCUUGUCGGGUAAGUUCCGACCCGCACGAAAGGUGUAACGAUUUGGGCACUGUCUCAACGAGGGACCCGGUGAAAUUGAAAUACCUGUGAAGAUGCAGGUUACCCGCGACUGGACAGAAAGACCCCAUGGAGCUUUACUGUAACCUGACAUUGGGUUUUGUUGUAUUACGUACAGGAUAGGUGGGAGGCUUGGAAGGCUGGACGCUAGUCUGGCUGGAGCCGGCGUUGGGAUACCACCCUUGAUACAACGGAAUUCUAACCGAGAGAGUAACGAAAUCCGGGACAGUGUCAGGCGGGCAGUUUGACUGGGGCGGUCGCCUCCGAAAGAGUAACGGAGGCGCCCAAAGGUUCCCUCAGCGCGGCCGGAAAUCGCGCGAAGAGUGUAAAGGCAGAAGGGAGCUUGACUGCGAGCCAAACACGGCGAGCAGGUACGAAAGUAGGGCUUAGUGAUCCGGUGGUACCGAGUGGAAGGGCCAUCGCUCAACGGAUAAAAGCUACCCUGGGGAUAACAG
rnacentral:rRNA from 1 species